rnacentral:rRNA from 1 species
UACGAAGGGGGCUAGCGUUGCUCGGAAUUACUGGGCGUAAAGCGCACGUAGGCGGUCUUUUAAGUCGGGGGUGAAAUCCUGGAGCUCAACUCCAGAACUGCCUUCGAUACUGGAAGACUUGAGUCCGGGAGAGGUGAGUGGAACUGCGAGUGUGGAGGUGAAAUUCGUAGAUAUUCGCAAGAACACCAGUGGCGAAGGCGGCUCACUGGCCCGGUACUGACGCUGAGGUGCGAAAGCGUGGGGAGCAAACAGG